AUAUUUUUCUUGACCUUUUGGCUAAAAUAAAGUGUAAUAUUUGUUCUUAUCAGUUUAAUAUUUGAUACGUGGAUCAUAUGUUCGAUUUAAUAUUAAAUUUAUUUUCAUGGGUAUCAAAUAUGAUUGUGUGAUGUCGCAAUGUACAGGCAUUGGACUAGUCUCUACUCUUUUAAUGCAUCAAUU
rfam:Zea mays cultivar B73 chromosome 7, whole genome shotgun sequence.